rnacentral:tRNA from 1 species
GGGCUCGUGGUCUAGUGGCAUGACGUCGCUUUGACGUGGCGAAGAUUGCAGGUUCAAUUCCUGCCGGGCCCA